CUGGGACUUCAGUAUGAACCCUCCUCUUCUGGAAACUGUGGAGCAUCACUCAGAGUUUGUGUGUGGACUGGACUUUAAUCUGCAUAUCCCCAACCAGGUGGUGGACUGUUCCUGGGAUGAGACGGUGAAGAUCUACACACCUGCCUGUCUGUCUGCAGGAACACAAAGUACAGCACGUUAGAACACACACACACACACACACACACACACACACACACACACUGACACACACGUUUGCUUUCAUUUUCUGAAGGUUAUUUUCAUAUGUUUUGGAGUCUUUUCAAUCUUUAUAACAUCCACAAUGAACAUUAUGUAACUACUUUACCUAAACAAAUGUGUUAUGUCAUGGUAUUAUGCACCAAGAAUGCCUGUUCUUGCACAAUGUACCUUAGGUUAGCAUGUCUUACAAUUUUGUAACUUCUGUAAAUUAAUUUGGUAAAACUAGAUCAUACUUUACGGGAAAAAAAAUGUUUCUGGUUAUCCAUCUGAUUUCCUCUGCCUGUUCUGCGUCAACUCUUUGUGAUUCCCAGAGUUUUGAUGAACAUAAAGCUUUUCUUGUUGCUGAAGUAACACUAACUACCUUUAAGAUAAACCACCGUUAGCUAGUUAGCUUUUAGCUCAGAUAGCUGUGCUGCCCGAACUGUUUUAGCAAUUUUAUCUGCCUUGCUGUCUCAUGUUGUUUGCAAAGUUGUAGACUUGCUAAUUCUUGAACAUCAGUAAUGUAAUCAUAACAAUGAAAAGUGUUAAGUAACAACUGUUCAUAUUUUCAACAGCGAUUAAAAGGUAAUUACCCUCCAAAACUGUAGGGGGCGCUAAAUAUAAAUACAUAACUUUAUUUAAACUAUAGUUCUUAUAUUUUCUAAUAUUUCACAGAUUUUCCACAAGCUUUCCAUUGCUUUUAUUUCAAAGCAUCUUUAUUUAGCCCUUUCCCUGCUGGCCCACCUGCCACACACACAUACAAUCUGGGGACCACUGCCAAAACGAUAACUUUUUAACUGCCUAACCCCAGUGCUUUUUCUUAUAUCUGACCUUAACUAGUCCUAAUAAUGACCAUGAACUUAAAAAACAAAUCUUAUCCCUAAAAUGUAAAGUUUUCUUGCUGUCCCCAUAAGGAAAUUCCCUGUUGUAGUCCCCACAAAGGGGUGAAAACAAACACACACACGCAUCAUCAGCAGGCGAUUUGCACUUUAACUUAAUUCCCAAACGAUUCAAAAUGUUCAAUCCAAGCUUGGUCGUGUUGACUUUCCUGUGAAUGAAUUAUGUAAAUCAUAAUGUCUUUAUGAUCCAUAACAUCCAUGUGAUUAUGUGUUUCUGUUUUAUCUCACUGAUACUCUGUUUGACUGAAGAAAACAAAAUGUAAACUGUGACUAAUUUCACCGCUGAAAUGCCAUCAGUGCAGAUGUGUUAGUGGAUGAUGAUCUGUACGUGCAGUGCCUUCAAUAAAAAUGCAAAUAUCAUAUGAA